UACGUAGGGGGCAAGCGUUGUCCGGAUUUAUUGGGCGUAAAGAGCGUGUAGGCGGCCUUUUAAGUCCUGCGUGAAAUCCUGCGGCUCAACCGCAGACGGUCGUGGGAAACUGGAAGGCUAGAGUGCGGGAGAGGAGAGUGGAAUUCCCGGUGUAGCGGUGAAAUUCGUAGAUAUUCGCAGGAACACCAGUGGCGAAGGCGACUUGCUGGGCUUGUGGUGACGCUGAGACGCGAAAGCGUGGGGAGCAAACAGG
rnacentral:rRNA from 1 species